GACGAACGCUGGCGGCGUGCUUAACACAUGCAAGUCGAACGGAAAGGCCCUGCUUUUGUGGGGUUCUCGAGUGGCGAACGGGUGAGUAACACGUGAGUAACCUGCCCUUGACUUUGGGAUAACUUCAGGAAACUGGGGCUAAUACCGGAUAGGAGCUCCUGCUGCAUGGUGGGGGUUGGAAAGUUUCGGCGGUUGGGGAUGGACUCGCGGCUUAUCAGCUUGUUGGUGGGGUAGUGGCUUACCAAGGCUUUGACGGGUAGCCGGCAUGAGAGGGUGAACGGCCACAUUGGGACUGAGAUACGGCCCAGACUCCUACGGGAGGCAGCAGUGGGGAAUAUUGCACAAUGGGCGGAAGCCUGAUGCAGCAACGCCGCGUGCGGGAUGACGGCCUUCGGGUUGUAAACCGCUUUCGCCUGUGACGAAGCGUGAGUGACGGUAAUGGGUAAAGAAGCACCGGCUAACUACGUG
rnacentral:rRNA from 1 species